rnacentral:lncRNA from 1 species
GAGCAAAUGGGUGAGGCAGACACAUAGAACAAGUGGCACCAACAAGCCCCAGUUCUAAGGUACAAAUCCAUCUCACAUAGCCCUGUUUGACCUUUCAAAUUGCAGUUCUUUGAUGCUGUGAUGAAGAUGACUAUCUUGUUCAGAUGGCAAUGGAAAAUGCAAUAGCAGAGGGUGCAUGAAUUUGGACAGAAAGAAUGAAUGGCUUGUCCUCCCAGAACCCAAAACCAAAAAGAAUAACAUAAAAUCCAUAAAUACCCACCCACAACAGUGUUUGCAUCAAGCAAUUCCAACCAGGAGAAGCAUCAGCACCAGUAACUCGGAGGUUCGAUAUGUAGCUGAAGCAGA